GCAGCAAUGGAGAAAGAUUGAUGUGGCGACCAAAUCCAAACCCUGGGAGCUGAACCGGCCGAGGAAAAGAAACGAAGGAGGAUAGAAGCUGAGGGAGGGAAGAAGAGACGAGAGAGCGAACGGGAGACGAGGGAGGGAACGAAUAAGGCUUUGGCUGAUCUGCUGCUGCUGUAAUUCUAGGCUGAUGAGGGAACCGACAGACCCAAUCAAGUUUUGUUGAGACGGAAUGAUUUUCAACAAACAAAUCUUGGCCGCUCUCAUUGGCAUGAAGGAGCUUACCUGCGAUUGAUGUGUGUUUUUGACGAACCUUUAUGUCGGGUAUGUAUGUGCAGUAUUAAAUUUGAUAUAUGAUUUGUUAUAUUAAUGAUAUUAAUAAUAUGCAAAUUUUGUAUUGUGCUUGAUACAAAUGUAACUUCUUUAUAAAAAUGUGCCUACGUACUGAAUUU